rnacentral:rRNA from 1 species
GACGAACGCUGGCGGCGUGCUUAACACAUGCAAGUCGAACGGACUGCCUGGUUUUCGGAUCGGGUGGUGUGUGGCGAACGGGUGAGUAACACGUGUGUAACCUGCCCCUCUCUUUGGGAUAACGUCGGGAAAUCGGCGCUCAUACCGGGUAUUCUGGCUUCCUCGCAUGGGGUUGUUGGGAAAGGAUUUUUUUGGUGGGGGAUGGGCUCGCGGCCUCUCAGCUUGUUGGUGGGGAGAUGGCAUACCCAGGCGGUGACGGGUAGCCGACCCGAGAGUGUGUCAGGCCACACUGGGACUGAGACACGGGCCAGACUCCUACGGGAGGCAGCAGUGGAGAAUAUUGCACAAUGGGCGGAAGCCUGAUGCAGCGACGGCGCGUGGGGGAUGCCGGCCUUCGGGUUGUAAACCACUUUCAGUGCAGAACAAGGCUCUUUGUGGGUUGAGGGUAUGCGCAGAAGAAGCGCCGGCUAACUACGUG